GCCAAAGAAAUCAAGAAGCAAGCAAGAGAAAGAAGAGGAAGAGGAAAUUUUAGUGGUGGAUGGGAUAGAGCUUGAUAGAGAUGCAGUGGUGAAGUUUGAUGUGUAUGUUAAUGAUGAGGAUGAUUUGCAGAGUGGACCUGACAAUUCUGAGUUUGCAGGAAGCUUUGUGAAUGUGCCUCAUGUACAUAAACAUGGGAAGAAAAUGAAGACAUGUUUGAGAUUAGGGAUUACAGAUUUGUUGGAGGAUUUGGGUGCUGAAGAUGAUGAUAGCG
rnacentral:misc_RNA from 1 species